CCCUUAGAUGUUCUGGGCGGCCCGCGCACUACAAUGGCGUGUGCAGCGAGUGCCGAAGUAGAGUUUUCCGAGGUAUUCUUGCAAUGCUCGUUUUGAUGGGGAUAGACCCUUGCAACUGUUGGUUUUGAACGAGGAAUUCCUUGUAAGCAUGGUUUAUCAUCCGACGCUGAAUGCGUCCCUGCCCUUUGUACACACCGCCCGUCGCUCCUACCGAUGAGUCGUCCGGUGAAGUUCGUAGACCUCGUGAUCGCGGAUCACUGGGGGAAGCAAAAUGGACCUCGCGGUUUAGAGGAAGGAGAAGUCGUAACA
rnacentral:rRNA from 1 species